ncrna:unclassified sequences eL15-Euryarchaeota ribosomal protein leader
GCGGGAUACGUCCCGCAGGGAUGUGGCCCCUUCAAGGGCUGAACCGUGAA